AAAAAACAAUUAAGAUUAACUUGAAAUUCGGAAUUAGAUUUACUUUGAAAUUAAAUUGAAAUUAAAAAUUAAAAAAAGUCAAAUAACUAAAAUCCAUUUUGAAAUCAAAAAACACCAUGAUCAAAAAACUAGAUAAUGACCAAUGUUUAUAAAAAAAAUAUGGAUUUGGGAAUGGGCGGUUGCCUUUGGUCAUGAAUGUAUGCAAAUGAACUUUAGGCCACGUGCCAAAUAAAAAAUGAAAAAAUUCAGGACCAAAAUCGGGGUAUGACAAAAACACCUUUAUGAGAGACACGUCACAUAUUCACUCAAAAC
rnacentral:lncRNA from 1 species